rnacentral:rRNA from 2 species
UAGGGAAUCUUCCGCAAUGGGCGAAAGCCUGACGGAGCAACGCCGCGUGAGUGAUGAAGGUCUUCGGAUCGUAAAACUCUGUUAUUAGGGAAGAACAAAUGUGUAAGUAACUAUGCACGUCUUGACGGUACCUAAUCAGAAAGCCACGGCUAACUACGUGCCAGCAGCCGCGGUAAUACGUAGGUGGCAAGCGUUAUCCGGAAUUAUUGGGCGUAAAGCGCGCGUAGGCGGUUUUUUAAGUCUGAUGUGAAAGCCCACGGCUCAACCGUGGAGGGUCAUUGGAAACUGGAAAACUUGAGUGCAGAAGAGGAAAGUGGAAUUCCAUGUGUAGCGGUGAAAUGCGCAGAGAUAUGGAGGAACACCAGUGGCGAAGGCGACUUUCUGGUCUGUAACUGACGCUGGUGUGCGAAAGCGUGGGGAUCAAACAGG